GACGAACGCUGGCGGCGUGCUUAACACAUGCUUUUCGAACGGAAAGGCCCUGCUUUUGUGGGGUGCUCGAGUGGCGAACGGGUGAGUAACACGUGAGUAACCUGCCCUUGACUUUGGGAUAACUUCAGGAAACUGGGGCUAAUACCGGAUAGGAGCUCCUGCUGCAUGGUGGGGGUUGGAAAGUUUCGGCGGUUGGGGAUGGACUCGCGGCUUAUCAGCUUGUUGGUGGGGUAGUGGCUUACCAAGGCUUUGACGGGUAGCCGGCCUGAGAGGGUGACCGGCCACAUUGGGACUGAGAUACGGCCCAGACUCCUACGGGAGGCAGCAGUGGGGAAUAUUGCACAAUGGGCGGAAGCCUGAUGCAGCAACGCCGCGUGCGGGAUGACGGCCCUCGGGUUGUAAACCGCUUUCGCCUGUGACGAAGCGUGAGUGACGGUAAUGGGUAAAGAAGCACCGGCUAACUACGUGCCAGCAGCCGCGGUGAUACGUAGGGUGCGAGCGUUGUCCGGAUUUAUUGGGCGUAAAGGGCUCGUAGGUGGUUGAUCGCGUCGGAAGUGUAAUCUUGGGGCUUAACCCUGAGCGUGCUUUCGAUACGGGUUGACUUGAGGAAGGUAGGGGAGAAUGGAAUUCCUGGUGGAGCGGUGGAAUGCGCAGAUAUCAGGAGGAACACCAGUGGCGAAGGCGGUUCUCUGGGCCUUUCCUGACGCUGAGGAGCGAAAGCGUGGGGAGCGAACAGGCUUAGAUACCCUGGUAGUCCACGCUGUAAACGGUGGGUACUAGGUGUGGGGUCCAUUCCACGGGUUCCGUGCCGUAGCUAACGCUUUAAGUACCCCGCCUGGGGAGUACGGCCGCAAGGCUAAAACUCAAAGGAAUUGACGGGGCCCCGCACAAGCGGCGGAGCAUGCGGAUUAAUUCGAUGCAACGCGUAGAACCUUACCUGGGUUUGACAUGGAUCGGGAGUGCUCAGAGAUGGGUGUGCCUCUUUUGGGGUCGGUUCACAGGUGGUGCAUGGCUGUCGUCAGCUCGUGUCGUGAGAUGUUGGGUUAAGUCCCGCAACGAGCGCAACCCUUGUUCACUGUUGCCAGCACGUUAUGGUGGGGACUCAGUGGAGACCGCCGGGGUCAACUCGGAGGAAGGUGGGGAUGACGUCAAGUCAUCAUGCCCCUUAUGUCCAGGGCUUCACGCAUGCUACAAUGGCUGGUACAGAGAGUGGCGAGCCUGUGAGGGUGAGCGAAUCUCGGAAAGCCGGUCUCAGUUCGGAUUGGGGUCUGCAACUCGACCUCAUGAAGUCGGAGUCGCUAGUAAUCGCAGAUCAGCAACGCUGCGGUGAAUACGUUCCCGGG
rnacentral:rRNA from 1 species